rnacentral:rRNA from 1 species
UACGUAGGGUCCGAGCGUUGUCCGGAAUUAUUGGGCGUAAAGGGCUCGUAGGCGGUUUGUCGCGUCGGGAGUGAAAACACGGGGCUUAACCCCGUGCCUGCUUCCGAUACGGGCGGACUCGAGUUCGGCAGGGGAGACUGGAAUUCCUGGUGUAGCGGUGAAAUGCGCAGAUAUCAGGAGGAACACCGGUGGCGAAGGCGGGUCUCUGGGCCGAUACUGACGCUGAGGAGCGAAAGCGUGGGGAGCGAACAGG